CCUACGGGUGGCAGCAGUGAGGAAUAUUGGUCAAUGGGCGCGAGCCUGAACCAGCCAAGUCGCGUGAGGGAAGACGGUCCUAUGGAUUAUAAACCUCUUUUGUCGGGGAGCAAAAGACGCCACGCGUGGCGUUCCGAGAGUACCCGAAGAAAAAGCAUCGGCUAACUCCGUGCCAGCAGCCGCGGUAAUACGGAGGAUGCGAGCGUUAUCCGGAUGUAUUGGGUUUAAAGGGUGCGCAGGCGGAAGAUGAAGUCAGCGGUAAAAUUGAGAGGCUCAACCUCAUCGAGCCGUUGAAACUGGGUUUCUUGAGUGAGCGAGAAGUAUGCGGAAUGCGUGGUGUAGCGGUGAAAUGCAUAGAUAUCACGCAGAACUCCGAUUGCGAAGGCAGCAUACCGGCGCUCAACUGACGCUCAUGCACGAAAGUGUGGGUAUCGAACAGGAUUAGAUACCCGGGUAGUC
rnacentral:rRNA from 1 species